rnacentral:rRNA from 1 species
AUACGUAGGGUGCAAGCGUUGUCCGGAUUUAUUGGGCGUAAAGAGCUCGUAGGCGGUUUGUCGCGUCGGAUGUGAAAACCUAUGGCUUAACCAUGGGCCUGCAUUCGAUACGGGCAAACUAGAGUUCGGUAGGGGAGACUGGAACUCCUGGUGUAGCGGUGAAAUGCGCAGAUAUCAGGAAGAACACCGGUGGCGAAGGCGGGUCUCUGGGCCGAUACUGACGCUGAGGAGCGAAAGCGUGGGGAGCAAACAGGAUUAGAUACCCUGGUAGUCCACGCCGUAAACGUUGGGCGCUAGGUGUGGGGAACCUUCCACGUUCUCCGUGCCGUAGCUAACGCAUUAAGCGCCCCGCCUGGGGAGUACGGCCGCAAGGCUAAA